AACCUUGGUCACACUUCACAGCUCAAAAAUGCUAAAUAACUGCUUUCGGUUCAUUGAUCAACUCUAGUUUCAAUCCUGGCCUCAAGGCUCAAAAAGUUUUCAGCUUGCAAAAACAGGAUAAAUCAUGUAAAAUCAAUGUGUGGAAAAACGUUCACUCGAUAUCAAGGAUUGUUCACUUGAUACUUGAGAAUAUUAUUUCACCCUGUUAAGUUAAGGUCAUUGUGGAGUUAGUAACAAAUUGGAGUAAAAGGACUGUGGUGAGAACUUAAUCAAGGAGGAAGUUAAUUUGUACAUACAAAAAUAAAAGCUAAAUCACAACAAAGUCAAGCCAAAUUCUGCAUUUACGCACGCCACGCUGCUGGCAAAUUUAAAAAGCAUGUAUAGCCACAUUGUACUACCAUCAACAAAAAUAUUAUUACAAAAUUUAUUUGACAUAAAUAUCCUGCUGUUUUCCAGUUAAACAAUGUGAAACAGGGAGGUAGUCAUGUAUAAAAGCAAAUACAUUACUUGAAAAUUCUAUUUUUGAUUUAUAAUUGAUAGUCAUUGCAUGUAAUGCAAAAAUUUUUAUUUUUAAUGCAGACGAAAAACUUAAACAAUUGCCUUAGACAAUUUUGACAUAGACUUAAAAAUCUUCAACAUGUUAAUUAAUGUCUCCUUGAUAGCAUUGUCGACAUUAAAGUAAUGCAAAAGUA